UGCAAGCUUUAGGCCUUGUGUGAACUUUGGUGUCAACUGGCUUCUUGGCUUCGGGUUAUAUGGGAUCUUCGGAUUAUAUGCAAUCUUUGGGUUAUAAUAUGUAUAAGCUAAGUAAUAUGAGAACUGAUUUAGGUGAUAUGCAUAAAAAGAUUAAUAUGUGCUAGUAUGAAUUAUAUAUUCGGUGGAAUUGUGUGAUAUGUUAUGUUUGCAUGGGGCGGAUAUGUUUAUGCGCAGUUUUUUUUUAAGCAUGUGAGGAUUAGUUGUUUGAGCUGGAGGGUGAAACAAUAGAAAUCAUAGGUAAUUCGGACUGAGAGAGAGUUUAUAGAGUUAUUUCAAUUAAAUUUAAUGGAUCAUUAUAAACUAAUAACAGUAAGAA
rnacentral:lncRNA from 1 species